CGUCCCAUCCUAGGAUGACCAUCCCAGGGCUCACAGCCCUUCAACCUGGCUGAUCAGGACCAAGUGAAAAGUGGAGGAAUCUUACCUGCUUAAUUAGCUUGGCCCAGAAGUGUCACCGAGUCAGAUGCCAGGGUUCAGAUAUGCAGAAGACCUCAGUGAAUGCUGCUGAAAGCUCUUGCCCUACUUUGAUCUAGUGUUGUCCCUGCGUUUGGACCUGGAAGAGAUAUCUGGCAGACUGUUGAGUACAGAAAAAGAAGAAAAUCAGUAGCCUCCCCUUAUCCAGGGUUACUGUGAUGUGCUGGGUAACCUCGUUCCUGAAGCAGAGGCUCCUUCUCACGCGGCAGCAUCAGAUUGUCAGCAGCCGGCGGGUGCUAUGUCACAGUGCUGAUGUCAUAAUGCUGACGUCAUAACGCUAAGGUCACAACGCUGACAUCACUCCCCCUCAUCACCUCAGGUGUGUGCAUCGUGCCAACAAAUCCCCUCUCACUGAAACAAGGCAAGUAAAUUUUAAAACGUCACGAAGGGGCGCCGUGUGACACAGUCGGUGAAGCCUCUGCCUGUAGGUUUCUGCUCAGGUCAUGAUCUCAGGGUGGUGAGAUCAAGUCCCGCAGCAGGGUCUGCGCUGAGUGCUUCG